ACGGGAGGCAGCAGUGGGGAAUAUUGCACAAUGGGCGCAAGCCUGAUGCAGCGAUGCCGCGUGAGGGAAGAAGGUUUUCGGAUUGGAAACCUCUGUCAACAGGGACGAUAAUGACUGUACCUGUGAAGGAAGCUCCGGCUAACUACGUGCCAGCAGCCGCGGUAAUACGUAGGGAGCAAGCGUUAUCCGGAAUUACUGGGUGUAAAGGGAGUGUAGGCGGGACUGUAAGUCAGAUGUGAAAUAUGCCGGCUCAACUGGCAGACUGCAUUUGAAACUGCGGUUCUUGAGUGAAGUAGAGGUAAGCGGAAUUCCUAGUGUAGCGGUGAAAUGCGUAGAUAUUAGGAGGAACAUCAGUGGCGAAGGCGGCUUACUGGGCUUUAACUGACGCUGAGGCUCGAAAGCGUGGGGAGCAAACAGGAUUAGAUACCCUGGUA
rnacentral:rRNA from 1 species